CGCACAAGUGACAAAAGAGAGAAAGAGGGCAGGAGAGCAUAAAACAUGAUCAUCAAAUGCGAGGGACCAAACCUAUCUAUAACAGAUCAUGUAACAGAUAAGAAAGGCAAAGCAUAUAACACUCGUGAUUUUCAAGUCAAACACAACAAAACAAUGCCAUUCUCUCCCACAUCUCCUUCUUCUUCUUCACUAUCUACCCUUCAAUCUUCUACUCCUGCUCUUUUUUCUUCACUCAAACCACACUCCCAUCCUUUUCCUCCCUCUUCUUUUUCUUAUGCUUUCAACCCCAAGAAAAGACUCUCCCACACCCGUCGUUUUCGCGUUGUUGCUGCAAAUGUAACUCUCCAGUCUGGCAAUGGUGCUGUUUCUGUUGAUGCUGCUCCUAAUACUUCCACUGAGAAGCUGGACUCAUCUUACUAUGGAAGACAGUACUUCCCUUUAGCUGCUGUUGUUGGCCAGGAUGCUAUCAAAACUGCUCUUUUGCUUGGGGCUAUUGACCGUGAGAUUGGUGGGAUUGCUAUAUCCGGCAGGCGAGGAACAGCCAAAACAGUUAUGGCACGUGGGCUUCAUGAAGUUUUGCCACCCAUUGAUGUAGUCAUGGGUUCAAUAGCAAAUGCAGAUCCAGCAUGCCCUGAAGAGUGGGAGGAUGGUUUGGCUGAACGAGUGGAAUAUGAUUCCAAUGGUAAUAUCAAGACCCAAGUUGUGAGAUCUCCUUUUGUUCAGAUUCCUCUGGGAGUUACUGAGGAUAGGCUCAUUGGAUCUGUUGAUGUUGAGGAGUCCGUGAAAACAGGAACAGCUGUCUUCCAACCUGGCCUUCUUGCUGAAGCUCAUAGAGGUGUUUUAUAUGUUGACGAAAUUAAUCUCUUGGAUGAGGGUAUAAGUAAUUUGCUUCUUAAUGUGUUGACCGAAGGAGUUAAUAUUGUUGAAAGAGAGGGAAUUAGCUUUAGGCAUCCUUGCAAGCCACUUUUGAUUGCUACUUAUAACCCAGAAGAAGGUGCUGUUCGUGAACACUUAUUAGAUCGCAUUGCUAUUAAUUUGAGCGCAGAUCUGCCAAUGAAUUUUGAAGAUCGUGUUGCAGCUGUUGGAAUUGCAACUCAAUUUCAGGAACAUAUUAAUGAAGUAUUUAAACUGGUUGAGGAAGAGACUGAAUAUGCAAAGACCCAGAUCAUUUUGGCAAGGGAGUAUUUGAAGGAUGUUACUAUUGGCAGGGAGCAAUUGAAGUACCUUGUUUUGGAAGCCCUUCGAGGUGGUUGCCAGGGACACAGAGCUGAGCUCUAUGCUGCCCGUGUUGCAAAAUGCCUGACUGCUUUAGAAGGACGUGAAAAAGUGACUGUGGAUGACCUUAAAAAAGCUGUAGAACUGGUUAUUCUUCCCCGUUCAAUAAUAAAUGAGAAACCACCUGAGCAACAAGACCAACAGCCUCCCCCUCCACCACCUCCUCAAAAUCAAGAUUCAGGGGAUGAGCAGAAUGAGGAGGAAGAUCAAAAGGAUGAUGAUAAAGAGAAUGAGCAACAGCAGGAACAAAUACCUGAAGAAUUCAUCUUUGAUGCGGAGGGAGGGUUGGUUGAUGAGAAACUUCUCUUCUUUGCACAACAAGCACAGAGACGCCGAGGGAAGGCUGGGAGAGCAAAGAAUGUGAUAUUUUCAGAGGACAGAGGACGGUAUAUUAAACCCAUGCUCCCAAAGGGUCCUGUGAAAAGAUUAGCGGUGGAUGCAACCCUCAGGGCAGCUGCUCCAUAUCAAAAAUUGCGUAAAGAGAAGGAUACUCAAAAGAGUAGGAAGGUUUAUGUUGAGAAAACUGACAUGAGGGCAAAGAGAAUGGCAAGAAAAGCCGGAGCACUGGUAAUAUUUGUGGUUGAUGCUAGUGGGAGCAUGGCAUUGAAUCGAAUGCAAAAUGCAAAGGGUGCAGCACUAAAGUUGCUUGCUGAGAGUUAUACAAGCAGGGAUCAGGUUGCUAUUAUUCCUUUCCGUGGAGAUGCUGCUGAAGUUCUUUUGCCUCCUUCCAGAUCAAUCUCAAUGGCAAGAAAGCGCCUUGAAAGGCUCCCAUGUGGUGGUGGUUCUCCCUUAGCUCACGGCCUAACAACUGCUGUCAGGGUUGGGUUAAAUGCAGAAAAGAGUGGUGAUGUUGGACGCAUAAUGAUUGUUGCAAUAACUGAUGGCAGAGCCAAUAUAUCACUAAAAAGGUCUACUGAUCCCGAAGCUGCUGGUCCUGAUACUCCAAGACCUUCGGCACGAGAAUUGAAGGAUGAGAUUCUUGAAGUGGCUGGGAAAAUAUACAAGGCAGGGAUGUCUCUCCUCGUCAUUGACACAGAAAACAAGUUCGUUUCAACUGGUUUUGCUAAAGAAAUCGCAAGAGUUGCUCAAGGAAAAUACUAUUACUUGCCGAAUGCAUCAGACGCAGUUAUUUCAGCCACAACGAAAGAAGCUUUAUCAGCCUUGAAGAGUUCAUGAUUUUAACAUUCUUGAUCACCCAAAUGUCGAGGAUUGUAUCAUGUAUCCCACCCGAUCGAGCAUGAAACUGACAACUACAUCAAGCGGUGCCUGACAUGUUGGUUCUGGAGCAGCGUUCUUUCUUUCCAAGGACAAAAUUUGUGAAGACUAGCGAAAGAAAUAUGAGGCAGACAAAUUAGUCUUCACACCUGAAGUUGGCAUGGAAAAUCACAUUGUUCUAGGACCAGACAAAUUUUAUCUUUUUCUUGAGAAGUCAUGUGUGUCAAUCACAGCAGGUUUUGGCUAUUGGAGACUAUAUAGUCUAUUGGAAUUGGGAACCUGUGAUGAAAAAUCAUGAGAUUUCAUAAUCUUGAAAAUCUUUUAAUUUAUCAUCAA